GGCCAGCUUAUAGCAUAGAAAAGGAAAGAAAUCCCAUUUUCUGACCAUUUUCUCUAACUGGAAGCUCUUUGGAGGCAGGGACUGUCUUUUCCUCAGUGUGUGUACAGCACCUAGCACAAUGGACCCUUGCUCCUAAGAGGGACCUUUGGGUCUAAAGUAAUACAAAUGAAUAACAAUGGUACUCGGCAUGUCUUUGAAGACUGGAAAUGCGCGCUUGCUGCAGGGCCUUGCACACUGUGUGUUCAGUAGAAGCAGCAUUCACAGGAGUACAUGGAUCAGAGGAGCUAUUGUCCAGCAGAUCCCCUACAGAAGAACAAGAAAGGAGGCAGCCAAGGCCCAUCCUUACCGAGC